rnacentral:misc_RNA from 1 species
AAAUAAAUAAAUAAAUAAAUAAAGCUAACCCUUAAAUGCUUGUAGAAUCUAUAAUCAUCUGCAUCAAAGCUUGAAAAGAAAAUUUUGGAAUAGAGGCAGUAGUGUCAGUAUUAUUAGCAUUCCCACCACAUUCAAUUGGAUUUUCUUCUUCUGUCUCCUCCAUUUUUCAAAUUCAUUCUCUGAGUAUGAUAUGCCUCUUCCAAAUCUUCUUGAAUUGAAAUAUUCCCAACAUAGACAUCAUUAUUGUUUUCAAAAUCUUCAACAAUUCCAACAAGAAGAAGACUACCUUCAGUAUCACUUCUAAUUACAAAACAAAACCCAAUUCCUUUCUUUACAGAAGACACCCUCUUAAAAGUGUUGCCAUUAGCAAGUCUCACACUCUUCCCAUGUUCAUUUUCCGAAAUAUUCCCAGGCUCCAAUUCUCUAAACCCUGAAUUGACAAGGGAAGCUUUUGAAUCCAAACCCUGAUGAUGGUCUUCCAUGCAUUGAGAAAUCUUUUUAUUUUCUAUAAAAACCUCUAUAAUUUGAAAUUUUUGUUCCUCCUUUUGAGUCUUAUUCUGUUCAUUUCCACCAUGAAAGAUUAUCUUUUAUCAAGAGAUAUAGCCUUCCCCUUAGCCUCACUCUCCCCAUUCUUUCUCAAUUCCUUGUCAUCACCCCAAUA